AUGGUCUACUUAGACACAAAGGCUGCAUCUGGAUUGGUGAACAAACAUUGCUUCAGGACAAAAUAUUCCAGCCCAAUUGGGGGGCACUCAGGGUUCCCUGUUACAUAUAACAUAAUACAUUCCCUGUUCAGUUGGAAAGGGAUGAAAAGUUACAUCAAACAGAGAGUCCAAUCUUGUUUAAUUUGCCAAAAGGCCAAACCAGAAAGGAUUAACUACCCAGGAUUGUUAUCUCCAUUGCCUAUUCCAAAGAAGGCUUGGGAAACUGUCACUAUGGAUUUCAUCUCUGGGUUGCCCAGUUCUGAAGCUUUUGAUUGUCUGAUGGUUGUCAUUGACAGGUUCACAAGAUAUGGUCAUUUUAUUCCAAUCAAACAUCCAUAUACUGCUCCUAUAAUUGCUGAGAUCUUCUUGGAGAAUGUGUAUAAGCUGCAUGGCAUGCCUGAGUUUAUUGUGUCUGACAGGGACCCAGUCUUUACCAGUGCAUUUUGGCAGCAUCUUAUCAAAAGAACAGGUGUUGUCUUGAAUAUGAGCACAGCAUAUCACCCUGAAACUGAUGGACAGACUGAGAGAGUGAAUCAGCAGAUAGAAUGUUUCCUCAGAUGCUUUGUUGGUGCUCAUCCCAAGAAAUGGAAAAAGUGGAUUUCCUUGUGUGAAUUCUGGUACAACACCAACUGGCAUUCAGCAGUGGAAAAACUCUGUUUGAAGUGCUUUAUGGGCACAGUCCUAGAAACUUUGCAAUCACUCCAUCUGAUACUAUUGAUCCACCAGAUGUCCAGCAAUGGCUAG
rnacentral:rRNA from 1 species